CUACGGGGGGCAGCAGUGAGGAAUAUUGCACAAUGGGGGGAACCCUGAUGCAGCAACGCCGCGUGGAGGAUGACGCAUUUCGGUGUGUAAACUCCUUUUAUAUGUCAAGAAAAUGACGGUAGCAUAUGAAUAAGCACCGGCUAACUCCGUGCCAGCAGCCGCGGUAAUACGGAGGGUGCAAGCGUUACUCGGAAUCACUGGGCGUAAAGGACGCGUAGGCGGGUUGGAAAGUCAGGUGUGAAAUCCUACAGCUUAACUGUAGAACUGCACUUGAAACUUCUAAUCUAGAGUAUGGGAGGGGGAGAUGGAAUUAGUGGUGUAGGGGUAAAAUCCGUAGAUAUCACUGGGAAUACCUAAAGCGAAGGCGAUCUCCUGGAACAUUACUGACGCUAAGGCGUGAAAGCGUGGGGAGCAAACGGGAUUAGAUACCCUAGUAGUC
rnacentral:rRNA from 1 species